rnacentral:rRNA from 1 species
GAUGAACGCUGGCGGCGUGCCUAAUACAUGCAAGUCGAGCGAACAGACGAGGAGCUUGCUCCUCUGACGUUAGCGGCGGACGGGUGAGUAACACGUGGAUAACCUACCUAUAAGACUGGGAUAACUUCGGGAAACCGGAGCUAAUACCGGAUAAUAUAUUGAACCGCAUGGUUCAAUAGUGAAAGACGGUUUUGCUGUCACUUAUAGAUGGAUCCGCGCCGCAUUAGCUAGUUGGUAAGGUAACGGCUUACCAAGGCGACGAUGCGUAGCCGACCUGGGAGGGUGAUCGGCCACACUGGAACUGAGACACGGUCCAGACUCCUACGGGAGGCAGCAGUAGGGAAUCUUCCGCAAUGGGCGAAAGCCUGACGGAGCAACGCCGCGUGAGUGAUGAAGGUCUUCGGAUCGUAAAACUCUGUUAUUAGGGAAGAACAAAUGUGUAAGUAACUAUGCACGUCUUGACGGUACCUAAUCAGAAAGCCACGGCUAACUACGU